CCUACGGGAGGCUGCAGUGGGGAAUAUUGGACAAUGGGGGGAACCCUGAUCCAGCGACGCCGCGUGAGUGAAGAAGUAUUUCGGUAUGUAAAGCUCUAUCAGCAGGGAAGAAAAUGACGGUACCUGAGUAAGAAGCCCCGGCUAACUACGUGCCAGCAGCCGCGGUAAUACGUAGGGGGCAAGCGUUAUCCGGAUUUACUGGGUGUAAAGGGAGCGUAGACGGCAGUGCAAGUCUGGAGUGAAAGGCGGGGGCUCAACCCCCGGACUGCUCUGGAAACUGUACGGCUGGAGUGCAGGAGAGGUAAGUGGAAUUCCUAGUGUAGCGGUGAAAGGCGUAGAUAUUAGGAGGAACACCAGUGGCGAAGGCGGCUUACUGGACUGUAACUGACGUUGAGGCUCGAAAGCGUGGGGAGCAAACAGGAUUAGAUACCCGUGUAGUC
rnacentral:rRNA from 1 species